UUGAACUAGGAUAGGAAACAUAAUUUCUGAGGCGGCGACCGAGGGGGCAAGGAGGUCGCUACACUUGCGGCCAGCCACCAUGGGGCUUGCUCUUUAAAGAACAGCCUCUGAGGCACUGGCAGGAGCUGGGGGGCUUCCAGCCCCACGGCCACCUCGCCACUGAAAAAAGCUGAGGGAAAACUGGCUCAAAAGACGAGCCUCUCAGAGAGGAGAGAGACACUGCUGUGAGGGGCGACAGGACCCUCUUGCCGUGGAAACCUGUUUAGAAAAUGUUAUAUUUAAAGUCUCUGAGGGGAAACAAGAGUUUCUCAGUGAGAAGCUGCUUAGGCUUCCCCUUGCCAACAAAGAGGAAUAAACGUCUCUGAGGGGAAACUCCCUGCCAAAUUAUAUAUUAUAUAUCUGAGGGGAGACAAGAGUUACUCAGUGGGAAGCUCACCUCUUUCUGCUUUGGCUUCAGCUUGCCAAAAAAAGGAGGGGAAAGCCCUUUCUAAGGGGAAAGGGGGAUUCAAAGUGUGGAGUGUAUCUCUUUUAUUUUUUGGCAGAUGAAGCCAAAGCAAAGUCUCUGAGGGAAACAGUUUCUCAAUGGGGAGUUCACCUCUCUGCUUUAGCUUCAUUUUCCCAAAGAAAGAAAGGGAGGGGGGAGUCUCUCAGGUGACUUUCCUUCUCUUUUGUUAAAAAAAAAUUAUCUGAGGAAAAGGCAAUCUCCAAGACAGUGAAAAAAAGGGCUAUGUGCCCAGCCUUGGCCACUACCUCACAAAAGAUUUUCUGAGGAAAGGCUGUCUCUCAGACAGUCAAGGGCUACAGGCCCAGCCUCAGGACAAGUCCCUUUUCCACAGGAAAAGGAGGAAGCCGCUUGAGAAAUGCUAUGCUGCCAGGACAAGGCUUUUUAAAAGAAUAGUUUCUGGGAGAAUGGCAGGAGUGGGGGUUUCAAGCCUGCCAACUUGGCCUUUACCUCUGUCUCACCUAAGAAGUGUCUGAGCCUGAGGGGGAACAGGGUCUAUAAGGGAGGCAUUCAUCUCUGCUUCGAUUUCAACUUGCCAAAAAAAAAAAAAAAAAAAAGGUUGAGAGGAAACUAGUUUCUAAGUGGGGAGUUGAUUUCUCUACUUGGGCUACAUCUCGCCAAAAAGGGGUUUCUGAGGAGAACAUAGAGUUUCUAAGGGGGGGAUUCAUCUCCCUGCUUUGGCUUCAUCCUGCCAAAACAACUCUGAGGAUGCUGCAGCCGUGCUGGCGUGAACAAAAGCCCUGCCACCUCACUGCCCACAUUUACAGCAUUUUGUCUGCCGAGGGCAAAGCGCAGCAGAUUCAUCCUGUCCUCAGAAGGCUGGGGCGCCACAGCCUUCUGCAUUACAGCAAAAAUCUGCCCAAUAUUAAAGCGUUCUUUCUCUCUGCAUACAAAUGUUAUAAAUAUGCACAGCGUAGGGCAGGACUUCUGAGCACAAUGGCACCAGGGCUGUGGCAGAAAACUAUGAGGUCAGGGGCUGUGUAAAUACAGAUGGGCUGGCUCUAAUAUUGGAAAACUCUGUUGUUCUAGGAACUGUCAGUAGAAGCUUCAGGCUUCUUUAUGCCCCCAAGAGCUUUUUGGGGCAGCAUAAUUUCUAAGAUAGUGGCUGAAUGGAUUGGGACAUGCUUCAUGUGUGUUAGAAGCCUCAGGCUUCUGGCAGCAUAAUCUCUAAAAGAGUGGCUAGCUUGAAUGGAACACUCUUCAUGAGUGUUCCAUUCUGACCCCAAGGAAGAAACAGAAUUGGCACACCAUUCGCAAGGACCUCCAUGCCUGAACAUUGAUGUUGGAACAUUUUCUCCUGCCAAGUGGCCUCUGUGGCAGAUUUCAAGAAAGAACUAAAGGAGUCUUAAGAAUGAAUUAAAGGAAGCAACGACGCACGACAGAUGCCAAGCCAGGGGCUGCAUAACUCAAUCACAACACACUGUUAAUUUUUCUCAAAAGAAGCUCGAGGCUUCUUUAUUCUCCCACCAGCUUUGUCAGGCAUCAUAAUCUCUCAAAUGGUCCCUGUCCUGAAUGCAACAUGCUUCAUGCAUGUUAGAGGAGCUUCAGGCUUCUGUAUUUUCUCAAUGGCUGCGGGAGGCAGCAUCAUCCCUGGCUGUCUUGAAUGGAACAAGCUUCAUGCAUGUUCCAUUCUGCCCUCUGAAGAAUGGUUUGGCAAGAAGAAACAGAAUUGGCAAACCUUUCUUGAAGACCUCCAUGCCUGGAUGUUGACACUGGAACGUUUUCUCCUCCCAAGUGGCCUCCGUGGCAGAUUUCAAGAAAGAACUAAAGGAGUCUCAAGAACGAAGGAAAGGAAGCAACGAUGAAUGAAAGAAGCCAAACCAGGGGAUGCAUAACUCAAGAAUCACAACACGCUGUGAAUAAUUCUCAAAGGAAGCCCAAGCUUCUUUUUCUCCCACUUGCUUUGUCGGGCAGCAGCAUCUCUCAGAUGUUCCCUGUCCUGAAUGGAACAUGCUUCAUGCAUGUUAGGAGCUUCAUGCUUCUGUUGUUUCCCAAUGCCUGUGGGAGGCAGCAUCAUCCCUAAGAUGGUGGCUCUCUUGAAUGGAACAUGCUUCAUGCAUGUUAGGAGCUUCAUGCUUCUGUAGUUUCUCAAUGCCUGUGGAAGGCAGCAUCAUCCCUAAGAUGGUGGCUCUCUUGAAUGGAACACGCUUCAUGCAUGUUCCAUUCUGCCCUCUGAAGAAUGGUUUGGCAAGAAGAAACAGAAUUGGCACACCUUUCUUGAAGACCUCCAUGCCUGGAUGUUGACGUUGGAACGUUUUCUCCUCCCAAAUGGCCUCCGUGGCAGAUUUCAAGAAAGAACUAAAGGAGUCUCAAGAACGAAGGAAAGGAAGCAACGAUGAAUGAAAGAAGCCAAACCAGGGGAUGCAUAACUCAAGAAUCACAACACGCUGUGAAUAAUUCUCAAAGGAAGCCCAAGCUUCUUUUUCUCCCACUUGCUUUGUCAGGCAGCAGCAUCUCUCAGAUGUUCCCUGUCCUGAAUGGAACAUGCUUCAUGCAUGUUAGGAGCUUCAUGCUUCUGUUGUUUCUCAAUGCCUGUGGGAGGCAGCAUCAUCCCUAAGAUGGUGGCUCUCUUGAAUGGAACAUGCUUCAUGCAUGUUAGGAGCUUCAUGCUUCUGUAGUUUCUCAAUGCCUGUGGAAGGCAGCAUCAUCCCUAAGAUGGUGGCUCUCUUGAAUGGAACACGCUUCAUGCAUGUUCCAUUCUGCCCUCUGAAGAAUGGUUUGGCAAGAAGAAACAGAAUUGGCACACCUUUCUCGAAGACCUCCAUGCCUGGAUGUUGACGUUGGAACGUUUUCU